CCAUGGGGUCGCAAAGAGUUGGACACGACUGAGCGACUUUCACUUUCUUUCAAAUUGCACAGGCUCCUCUACAAAAUGGAUGGGGCUGCCUUGCCAGCCGGAGCCUGAAAAUGUGCCCAGGUGUACAGAACCCCAAGUCCCUGGACAACCUGUGAAAUGCUAGCUGCCUGUGAACAGAUGAAAGGGAGGACAGGCAACUGUCCUGGAAGGAAGGAUCUGCAGACGGGACCUCCCUCAACUUUGACCGUGUACAUCUCAGGGUCUGCUUUCCCAGUCUGACCCCUCCUAGUGACAGCAGAGCUGUGAACCCAGGAACACUGACAGCCAAGAAAAGUGGCAUCAUCAAACCCCUCCCACCGCCUCUUCUCUCCUCUCAUGGCCAUUUUCAACAUCAAAGAAUAAUAAACUACUACACUGCACAUCUGAAACUCAUAUAAUAUUUCAAAUCAACUAUGCUUCAGUUUUGAAAAAUUUAUAAAGAAUAAAAAUGCUGUAAAAGAAAUGCCCCCCAGGAGUUUUAGUAAAGGGUCUGAAACCUAUAAUUUGAUCCCCAGUUCCAUUCCAUCUGCCAAAGCUGUGACGGACUCUGCGGUCAAGACAGUGGGCCAGCCAUCUGCUUGCAACCAUACCAUGAUUACAGGUUGUUCCUAAGAGUUGGUAUAACUAGAGGGUUAGGCUCAAGGAAACUCAUAGUAGCAUUACUGAUUGCCAACCAUGUUCUAGGCUUUAUGUACUUGCAACAAAUUUGUGAGCCUGGAAUUAUUCUUACAAAUGUUUUAGGAAUUGGAGACUGGACUCAGAAGCAUUAAAUGAAAGAUUGCCCAGCCAAAAAAA